GCGCCCGUAGCUCAACGGUUGGAGCAGGGGACUCAUAAUCCCUUGGUUGGGGGUUCGAUUCCCUCCGGGCGUA
rnacentral:tRNA from 1 species